UACGUAGGGGGCAAGCGUUGUCCGGAAUCAUUGGGCGUAAAGAGCGUGUAGGCGGUUCGGUAAGUCGGCUGUGAAAGUCCAGGGCUCAACCCUGGGGAUGCCGGUCGAUACUGCCGGACUAGAGUUCGGAAGAGGCGAGUGGAAUUCCCGGUGUAGCGGUGAAAUGCGCAGAUAUCGGGAGGAACACCUAUGGCGAAGGCAGCUCGCUGGGACGUUACUGACGCUGAGACGCGAAAAGCGUGGGGAGCAAACAGG
rnacentral:rRNA from 1 species